rnacentral:rRNA from 1 species
AGGACGAACGCUGGCGGCGUGCUUAACACAUGCAAGUCGAGCGGAAAGGCCCUUCGGGGUACUCGAGCGGCGAACGGGUGAGUAACACGUGAGUAAUCUGCCUUCAGCUCUGGGAUAGCUCCGGGAAACCGGGAUUAAUACCGGAUAUGACCACUUCGGACAUCUGUUGUGGUGGAAAGUUUUUCGGCUGGAGAUGAGCUCGCGGCCUAUCAGCUUGUUGGUGGGGUAACGGCCUACCAAGGCGACGACGGGUAGCCGGCCUGAGAGGGCGACCGGCCACACUGGGACUGAGACACGGCCCAGACUCCUACGGGAGGCAGCAGUGGGGAAUAUUGCGCAAUGGGCGGAAGCCUGACGCAGCGACGCCGCGUGGGGGAUGAAGGCCUUCGGGUUGUAAACCCCGUUUCAGCAGGGACGAAGCGAAAGUGACGGUACCUGCAGAAGAAGCGCCGGCUAACUACGUGCCAGCAGCCGC